rnacentral:misc_RNA from 1 species
CUCGACUCGAUCCACUAUCAAAGCGCUAUGCUUGGGCAUAAAAGAUUUACAUGAAAAAACAACCAAGACAAUGGGGUUGGUAAUUUGCCAAAUUACCACUCCGUGAACCUGUUCUCUCAACGCGCUUCUCCCAGGAUGUAUGGGAGUUGUUGUUGUAGGCAUGUAGGUAUAUAUGUUAUUGUGAUACGGGUACGUUGAGUCAGUACACCUGAGGUAACAAGUCGCGAUACCUGAGUCGAGCCGCUGACAUACCUGAGGUGAGGAGCUACUUUACUUACCUGUAAUCAGCGUUUACUGUGGAGUAUAUCCAGGUACACGCCAUGGACUGUGGAUAGACAACAGGUAUCACUAGCACACCGCCACCAUGCUGAGAACGUGUACCCCGGGGCCAGCUCCCCAUCUCCGAGCCCCGUCCCCUACGGAGGGACUGAGACGCCAGAUCGUUGAUAUGGUCAGGAUUACAGACCAUGGACUGGGCCAACGUUCAGCCACCAUCAUAUACGACUUACGACAGAGACAGGUUGUACAAGGGGAGACAACUCGUGGGAAAACACCCGACAUACGACGAAUCCCUGCAAGAAACCGAGAUUUUGGUCAUGACCUCGACACAUCCAAAUCAUCUGGAUCUCUUCCCCAGCCAUGUAAGACAUCGACACCCUACACUCAAAGACGUGAGGUAAAACGAGACAGUGAGGCAAGAAACCUGUCCCCAAACCGCUUCAAGACAGCCUUCCAGAUCCCAAGUCCCCCGCGGACAUCCCAGGGUGUCCCCGAGACGACAAAGAGGCCCCGGACAGGUCAGGGUCGAGAGCGGAGGGUCGUGAGGACAAAGAGCAUCCGGCUUCAGAAUGACACUGCUGGUCCUCACUGUCAAUCCUCGGAUUCCUCCAGUCCGUCGGACGAGAAGACAACCAGCAAAACAUCAGGAGAACCUUGUGAAGUUCGUGGCAACGCCAUCAGUUCAUCGCCAACACGAUCAAGAGUUAUGUCCCCUGUGAAGAGGGCUGAGGUGCAGCGCCGUGCUACGCUGUUCUCGACCUCGCUUGAACUGUUCCGAAGGCGACUGAAGAUGAACCAAAGUAAAUUUUUCAGUUGUAAUAAAGUUAAUCCAGAGGAGUAUGUGAUAAGGAAAGAAGAGAGAAAACCCUCGGCGAAACAGCGACUGAAUGUUAACAAUAUUCCAAAUUCGAAAAAACUCCAUCACCGGUUCGUGUCGCUCAAACGCAACUGGAGGAUUCAGCUGACGAUAGUCUGGAGACGAAGCAGACAAGAUGUUCCUACAGAUUGCCCGAAGUAACGGAUGAAGAAAAACAGGUGUCGUUCGGCGACCUCCGCAGCCUUCCGCAGGUACAGACAUACGUUCUAGAAGAUGACGGCUCAGACCAUGCCCGUCGACGCACAUUCAGAGAACCUGCUCCACUAACGUCUCACAACCUCGGCAUCCACAACAUGUUUAUGGACCAACAACGUCGACGACCUCGCGUUGAAGCUAAUGGGGUUAUUUACGACGCUCGGACAUGGCGUUGGGUGGAAGAGUCGAAUGCACAAGGCCGAGUCCAAAGAAUGGUUCGAUUCAACAUCUCGUCAAAUCCCGUCACAGAAACGGCUUCGGACUCGAGUAGAGUGAUCUCGGACGGGUCACGUGAUUAGUGUCACCCUGUCCUUAUAAACAUAAUAGGGUAUAGAUCCCUAGUGCCUGUGAUAAUGGUGGACAAAGUGAUAUUUCAUUCAUCGGAGUAUCCCAGUGGAUUAUGACGUCAUAUAUUCGGAUACCUAUGAGUUUGACAUGUCUGUUUACAAGUGAUCACAUGAUUUAGUGGUGAUGGAUAUAGUUCAUUAACCCAAGUUUUGCCUUCAUGAAUAUACUUGAUGAAUAUACUUGAUGGAUAUAUUUUGUAUUACACCGUGUACAUACUUACUUAAGUUUCAAAGUAUUUACCGUAUUAUAUGUCUUGGCAUAGAAAUAAUGUACAUGUAUUGUGUCUAAUGGAGCCAGAGCAGUAAAUGUAGUUCCGUAGUUCCGUAGAACUUUAUUUCGCUUCCCGACACUGCUCCUCAUUUUCGUUUGUAGGGAAUUUUUAGUAUCUUAUUGAAAUAUCCGUUUCGCUUCGUAGAUAUUUCUUCGUGUAACGGAAGUUCCAAAACGGAAUUAUUUAGCGUGUGUCAGUGGACAUCGUGAAGCUUUUUUCGGUGGCGGAUAAAGACAAAUAGAUUCAAUGGGGCAUCCAUUGUGUCCUGAACUAAACACGCGUCCCCAACACUGUCAAACGGGGUUUUGACGGAACAGUGGGAUGACGUAUCUUCAGACACGCGUCAUACUGAUCUGAUGUUUCGAUGCCCGACGUAGAGUGUAGUGUUCGUAUUGUUGCGUUUCGUGUGUCUAUGCAUCGGCUACUGACGGUUAACUGACAUCCCAUACCAUCAGAUCGUAUAAACAGUUAACAUUAGUUUCAAGUAACUGAUAUUUCACAGAAUAUUUGGCACGCCGAACAAUCAGAUCAUAUUGUCAGUUAACUUCAGUUUCGAGUUGCUGAUAUUUUGCUGAUACCUAAUACCAUCAGAUCAUAUUAUCGGUUAAGAUAAGUCUCGUUUAACUAAUAUUUCGCAGAAUAGUUCACCGACACCCCUUACCAUACCAAUUACCAUACCAUAUUAUCAGAUCAUAUUGUCAAUUAACAUCAGUUUCGACUAACUGAUAUUUCGCAGAAUAUUUCGUAACACCCCAUACCUUCAGAUCAUAUUAUCAGUUAACAUCUCUUUCGACUGAUAUUUCGCAGAAUAUUACGUGACACCCCAUACUUUCAUAUCAUAUUAUCAGUUAACUUUAGGUUCGAGUAACUAUUAAUGUAUUAGUUUCGGAUAACUGAUAUUUUGAGGACUGUUUCGUUGAUACUCCUUCCCAUCAGAUCAAAUCAACUUACAGUUCGAGUAACUGAUAUUGCGCUGACACCAUAUGCCAUCAGAUCAUAUUAUCGUUUCGGUCAAGUGGCAUUUCGCUGUUGAUACACAUUCAGUUCAUAUUGAUGUUUCGUAGAAUAUUUCGCGGACACCAUCAUCUCAUAUUAUCAGUUAAUAUCCGUUUCGGAUAACUGAUGUUUCGAAAAGGUUUCGGCUGAUAUCCUAUACCACCAGAUCGUAUUACCAGUUUCGUGUAACUGAUAUUCGAUAACACCAUGUAUCACCAGAUCAUAUUAUCGGUUGUCAUCAGUUUCGUGUAACUGAUAUUUCGAUAACACCAUGUAUCACCAAAUCAUAUUAUCGGUUGUCAUCAGUUUCGUGUAACUGCUAUUUCGAUAACACCAUAUACCACCAGAGAAUAUUAUCGGUUGUCAUCAGUUUCGUGUAACUGAUAUUUCGAUAACACCAUGUACCACCAGGUCGUAUAAUCAGUUAACAUCAGUUUCGUGUAACUGAUAUUUCGAUAACACCAGAUACCACCAGAGAAUAUUAUCGGUUGUCAUCAGUUUCGUGUAACUGAUAUUCGAUAACACUAUGUACCACCAGGUCGUAUAAUCAGUUAACAUCAGUUUCGUGUAACUGAUAUUUCGAUAACACCAGAUACCACCAGAGAAUAUUAUCGGUUGUCAUCAGUUUCGUGUAACUGAUAUUUCGAUAACACCAUGUACCACCAGAUCGUAUAAUCAGUUAACAUCAGUUUCGGGUAACUGAUAUUUCGCAGAAUGUUUCGCUGACACCCAUAACAUGAUGCCAUAAUUAUAUUAUCAGUUUCGGGUAACUGAUAUUUCGAUAACACCAUGUACCACCAGAGCAUAUUAUCAGGUUGUCAUCAGUUUCGAGUAACUGAUAUUUCGCAGAAUGUUUCGCUGACACUCAUAACAUGAUGCCAUAAUUAUAUUAUCAGUUUCGGGUAACUGAUAUUUCGCUGAAGAUUUCGCUGACAUCCCAUACCAUCAAAUCAUAUUAUCAGUUGAAAUCAAUUUCGGAUAACUGAUAUUUCGCAGAUGUUUCGGCUGACCCCCCAUACCACUAGAACGUAUUAUCAGUUAACAUCAGUUUCAGGUAACUGCUAUUUCGUUAACGCCAUAUACCAUCAGAUCAUAUUAUCACUUAACAUAUCCGUUUCGGUCAAGUGGUAUUUCGCUGAUGAUAUAGAAUCUACAUCCAGUUAACACUGAUCUUUCGUAGAAUAUUUCGCGGACAUUCAAUGCCAUCAAAUCGUGUUCGGAUCAGUUUCGGAUAACUGAUAUUUCUCAGAAUUUUCUGAUGACACCCCAUAUCAUUGCUUGCAUUAUCAGUUAACAUCAGUUUCGAGUAACUGAUAUUUCGUUGAUCACAUCAUCAGAUCAUAUUAUCACUUAACAUAUAAAUUUCGGUCAAGUGGUAUUAACGCUGAUGUUUCGCAGGAUAUUUCACGACACAAUGUCCCAUUCUGUUUCUGGUUCAACACGAGUUAUCGGACCUGAUUGUGGAAUACCAAUACAUUUUGUGUUCAUUAUCUCAUCAUUACAUCACCCAUCGUAGCCCAAAUCUUUACUGUUGACCUGGUUAAAUGAUGGCCCGUUCAGUUUCGAACGUUUUCGCUGAACACAAGUACUGAUGGAUUUGUUCGGCAAGAUGACGGGACCGACAUAUCGAGAUACUGUGAGUGUCCCAUUCGUUUCGGUUGUAAGUUUCCAAUAUUGUGCACUCUUUUGAAAGGAAAAGUUGAUCUCGACAUGCUGUUAACUGGAAUAUGAGUUCCAUUUUUGUAAAACUGAAUUUUCCCUUCGAGGUUUCGAAUUUCGACCGACGCUCGUGGCCUUCAUCCGUGCAAAUGUGGAUGCCAACAGACACUAGAACUGCCAAGUUUGUAGACUUGGAAAAUAUAUCCCCAACUGACCUUUUCGUGUUAGCAUUGCGUUUGUGACACUGCAGAGAAGGGGAAAUGGAUUUGUUUGGUUCCAAUGAGAUGCAUAUUUCGUUUUUAUUCCCUGUGAGAGCGCUUUUUCGGAUUUACUCCAUCAGUAGUCGGACUGUCAAUUGUUUCGUCUUUUCGCAAAAUCUGACACAAAUACGGUGGUCGUUUUCAGACAAAACGAUUCUAUCGUCUGAUUCUCGCACAGUAUUAUUUUCUUCUGAAUGCUUUGAGGGAAAUAGUACAUUUGUUUCACGAGGGCGGUCACGUAUCGCCUUUCGUCGCUUUCGUUCCCCCAUGCAAGCCCAUAUUACCCAUUGUAUGGAGGAUUGGACGUGUAGUGUUUCUAUGCCAAGACAUACGCAAUAUCAUGUACAUUACCUAUGGAUUACGUAUCAAUUUUAAUACUCAAAUCAAAUGUGAAAUUGUGAUAUCCCUUCCCCUUCCUACCCCUAAGGUGCAAACCUGCUAUAAAAUCGGAGUCAAUAUAUAACUCGACAGCAUUGCUUAAUUAAUUUUCUUAUCAGCUAUACAAUCUACGAUACCCUGAAGGGUGUAUAUGAUUACAUGUACACGACGAAGCAAUAAAUGCAUGUACAUAAUAUCACUGUAAAUAUACGGAUCUAAGUGCCAUGUUUUAUAUGAACGAUGCCCAUGUAUAGUGUGUACACUAUAUGUAUCAGUUAUGUACCUCGUGUAAUGUUUUGAGAAAUGUCAAUGUACAUUAUUAAAUGAUGCUCAAAUCGGCUGGAAAUCUACACGCGCACUUGCUUCUGUUUUGAUAAAGGUGUUCCAAGCAAACGAUUUUCACUUGCAUUUUCAUUGUGAUUUUAUGUAUGUACAUGUUUUUCAAGGGCGGACAUUGACAUUUCUUAUUGUUUGAAGUAUAGUGUGACAAAAUAAAUAGUAAACAACUGCA